GAACAGAGACUGAGGCACGAAUUUUCAGCAGAGGUAUAACUCAGCGUUUCCUGGUCCUCGGUGGGAGCCUGCCUGUCCUCCCGAGCCGUGUCCGUCCUGGCCCGUGGCUCAGGAGCUGCCCAGGCCAGCCAGUGCCCGGCUCUGGAAGUCAGGGGAGUUUCACUCCCGCUCCAAGACGGAGGCACGGUGUCCUGGAAAGCCUCCCGCGGGGUUUCUUUGAAACCAAGCACCACAAAUUCUAUCCACUGCACAUUUUGGUCAACCAAAUGGAGGUGAGGACCUGCCUGAAAGCAGCAGGGAAGACUUCAGGCAUUUCAUCCCUCCAGAUUAACUGUGACAGCAUUGGAAGCUCUUUCUUCUGCUGGAGAGAAAUGAAAGGCAGAGAAGGAGGAGUGCAGAAAGGAAGAGAAUGAAAAUGGGAUGUUUCAAAGAUGAUGGGAAGAACAUGAUUGGUUUUUGACAAUGGUGAAAAUUCCCUUUCAUGACAUGGAGUGUGCUGAAGAAGAGCAGGGGCUUCAUGUUCACAUUCAGCCUUACCCUGGUGCUAUUGGUCUCAGUAACAAGCAUUAGUGAUAGUGUCCCCGGGAGGAUCCUCAGACAGCUUCACCUCAUGUCUCAUCACGCUACCCAUGAAGAACAGGUUUCCUUCUGACCUGCCACUGACUACAGAACUGGCCAGGAAACAAUCAGGACAGGUAUAUCUGACCCAGCUGUUCCCGAAAGAGCCCCCAUGAGGGUCCGACAUCUGCUGACCACGUAGGGAAUAUGGACUCAGGGUGAGGGGAGCACCCACGAUGUGAAGUUGGACCUAUCUUCACGCUCCUUUCGGCUUGUGUCCAGAAGGAUUGGGGGGCCUGACGCUAUGCCAUGUGCACUCUGGCUUGCAUGCCUGCAGAAAUCACUUAUAUCAGCUCCGCCAGCCCUGUGGGCAGCCAGGCUUGCCCCCAUCUCCUUCUGAUGCCAAUUUCCCUCAUGCUGUCAAGCUCAUGGUUAACAUCAUCUGCCUAUGAGACCCUGCCAGAAAGGAUAUCAUCCUGGCCAGAAGCCUCACGGCUACACAGAUGAAACCGAGUACAGUAAAGAAGGACUAAAUAAAUAUUUCAUGCUUGCUGCAAUGUGAUUUUUGAGCAAACACAGUUUCAUAAAAGCAAGAGAAGGAUGAGUCAGCAACUGAUUUUAUAAUCAGUUUUGGAGUUUUUUGAAGAACUGUCUGUUACUGGCAUAAGAGUAUGAUCAUUUCAGAGUCUCAUAUCCAGCACAGUAAGGAGAUAUUUGAGGCAGAGUCCCUGGGUGUUUUAGAAAUCUCAGGGACAGAGAGGAGGACUCCCACAACACCAGAACACUAAAGAUUCACGGAAACUAAGUGCACACGGAGUAAAGAAAAAGAAUACAAUAAUACAUUGCCAAACCAAUGCCUAUAGUUUGCCAGGCCCCAGCAAUGGGAAUGACACAGAACAUGUUGUACAAGCCUAACCAAAUUCCUCAUGGACAGCAAGUUGAGAUCUCACAUCCUGUCCACCCUUUCUCAACUCUGUUAUAAUUUUCCUUGUCUGCUAAAUAAGAAAGUAGUGCAUAAACCCUCAAAGGUCGAAUGCUGGUAGUCACUAUAGAAAGCACACUAAGACAAGCAGAGAGUCUUAGAAUAGAUGGAGCUGUGCAAAGGUACUCAAGGUAGGAAAAACAGGCACAAGUAAGGGGAAGGAGAAAAAUAAGCAGAGGAGUUUGCUUCUUGAAAGUUUAAAAGUGGA